AGAUUUGGUAAUCGAGUGAAGUUUUGGAUGACUUUUAAUGAACCGUGGGCUCUUAGUGGAUUUGCCUAUGAUGAUGGAUUUUUUGCUCCCGGUCGAUGUUCAUCUUGGGUGAAUCGUCAAUGUCGUGCUGGAAAUUCAGCUACUGAACCUUAUAUAGUUGCACAUCAUCUCCUCCUCGCACAUUCUGCAGCUGUUAAUUUAUAUAGAGAAAAGUACCAGGUUGGUGAUUUUUGGAUAUACAUACAUGCAUGCCUAGUUUCUUUGUCAAAUACAAAUCUAUCUAGAUUAAUGUGACAUUCUUUUUAUAUUGAUUAUAUAGAAAAUUCGACCCGGCGCGACAAUAGGCAAGAUUGGAAUAACACUCUUUACCUUUUGGUUCGAACCAUUAUCCAAUAGAUCAAUUGAUAUAGAAGCAUCCAGAACAGCACUUGAUUUCAUGUUUGGAUUGUAAGUUUUUCAUUCAAAUUAAUCCAGCUUAUAUACAAAAGUAAUAAAUAAUACAUAUAAUUUUACUAUAUUUUUCAGGUGGAUGGAUCCUUUAACUUAUGGUCGUUAUCCAAGACGUGUGCAAGAUUUAGUUGGAGAUAGAUUGCUCAAUUUUACUGAAAAAGAAACUGAAAUGCUUAGAAAAUCAUAUGAUUUUCUUGGGUUACAAUAUUAUACUUCGUAUUAUGCAAAACCAAAUGCUCCAAUUGAUCCAGAUCAUAUUAGAUACAAAACUGAUAGUCAAACCACUACAACCGGUAAGCUCAUUCAGAAAUGUGAUAUAUUAAAAGUAGAAAGAAUAUAUAUGUGGGUUGAUAUAAGUAUCCUUUUUGAAAAGAAUUUUCAUUUAUAACAUGUUUUUUUUUCCUUACAGCCUAUGACUAUGACGGUAACCCAAUUGGUCCACACGUAAGUGUGUAUUAAAAUGAAAUUUAGUAUAAAAAAGAGAAGAAAAUUGCACGUUUAUGAAUAGUAUCACUGACAUAAAAAUAAAAAUUUGCAGGCUUACUCACCUUGGUUUUACAUUUUUCCAAAAGGCAUUCGACAUCUUUUGAACUAUACCAAAGAUACAUAUGAAGAUCCAGUAAUUUAUAUUACUGAGAAUGGUAAAUAGUUUAUUUCUUUUGUUAUAGAAUUACUAGCGAGCUAUUCACAUUAAUAGUGUGCUCCAAUUUAUUUAAGUUUUUCAUAUAUUAAUUCAGGGGUUGAUAGAUACAAUAACGAAAGUCGAACUCCUGAGCAAGUGAGAAAUGAUACAUUCAGGAUAAACUAUUAUAAAGAGCACAUGUGGCAUGCAUUGGGAUCCCUCAAGUGAGUCUAAACUCCAGUAUGCUAAUAUAAAGAUUUUUUUUUUAAUAAUCCUUAAUCAAUUUUACUAAUAAAAGUUAGUUUUUGUAGGAAAUACAAUGUUAAUCUCAAAGGUUAUUUUGCAUGGUCAUAUUUGGACAAUUUCGAGUGGAAUAUCGGUUAUACUUCGAGAUUUGGUUUAUACUAUGUUGACUAUCAUGAUGACUUGAAAAGAAUGCCCAAAGAUUCCGCUAACUGGUUCAAGGAUAAGUUCUUGAUGAGCCCUUGGAAGGUUACUUCAAAGGAUUCAAGGAAAGUUGGCAAAUACUACAUAAUGUAGUAUGGGUUGAGGUGCCAAAAUUAAAGAGAUAUGGCUUGUGUGUGUCUUGCAAUGAAAUAAUAUGAUUGGGCUACUUCUUAGCUCCAAUGACAUAGCUAGCUUGUGUGGUAAUAGUUUUGUGUGUCUUUGUCUAGCAAUUAAAUAACAUCAUUGAGCUUACUGUUAAGCUCCAAUGACAGGUUGUGUUGUAAUAUAUUUUUGAAAUGAACAAGGAGUGUUUAUCUCCUUUAAGGAAUUUUAUUAAUAUUAUCGGCCUUUGUAUGCAUGAAUUUUAUUAACACUUUUUUUUAGUUUAUUGAAAAAAAUCUAAAUAUUUAGAUUAAUUGAUAUUUAUAGUUAAAAUUUUAACUUUGAAUAAUAAAAUUAAAUAUUUAUAGUUUGUCACAAUUAUAAUAAAAAAAUUAAGUUAAAUUUGAAAAAAAAAACAGUAAAUUAUAAUAUAGUCUCUAAAAUUUUAUAUUAAUUAAAUAUAUAAACCCUUUAAUUCAAAUUUAUAUUAAAAAUAGAUAUAUUUUAUAUUUAUCAUAUAUAAUAUUAAUUAUAUUAUAUAAUAAAUAAAUAUUUAUUAUAAAGUUCGUGAAAUAUUUAUACUCAACAUUAUGUGCGUAUUUUCAUAUAUAAAAAAAACUAUACUUUAUAUUAAUAAUAUUAAUAAAAUAAAAUAUUAUAUAUUUUAGACUAUAAAGUUUUAUUGUUUUUACAUUUUAAAUUUUUAUUAAUCUAUAAUGUGCCUAUGAAAGUGGGAAUAAGCAAAAGUGAGAAUGAAUAAUGAAUAUAAUGAGAUUAAUAAAAAAGGAUAUUGCUAAAAAAAAGUAAAACUUUAUGUAUUAUAUUAAUUUUUUAAAUUUUAAUUUAAUAUUUUAAUUAUAAUUAUGAUAAAUUAAAAAAUUUAAUUUUAUCAUGCAAAAUUUAAAAUUUUAGAUAUCAAUAUAAAUUAUUACUAAUAUUUAAAUUUUUUGUCUAAUAAACUUUUUUUAAUAUUGUAGUCUCACCAUGCAAAAUAAAUUAUUUUCUUAAAAAAUAAUAUAUUUAAAAAAUAUUUUUUAUGAAAUAAAUAAAGGCUAAUGUUAUAUUUAAUUUUUAGAUUAUGUUUUAUAUAAAGGUAGACGGCCCUAAUUAUGAAAAAGAUAUAGUUUAUUUGUUCUAUAAUUUUUAUUUAUUUAUUUUUAAUUAUUUUAAAAUUAUUACUCAUUUUUUUAUAUUAUACACUAUUAACAUAUAAAUUAAUUAUUAUAAUUCUAUUUAAUUUUAUUUUAUUUUCAAUAUAAUUUUUUAUUAAUUAAUUAUUAUUUUUUUAAAAUUAAUAUUCAAAAUAUCUUCUAAUAUUUAAUAAAAUUUAAUGUAUUUAAAAUGAAUAUAAUUAAAAAAUUAAUAAAAAAUUAUAUGACAAAACAUAAAGAGAAGAGAAUCAUACAUAUAAUAAAAUAAUGCCGUAUAAUAUAUAGUUUAGUUUAGUUAUUUUGACUUUGUUUUUAUGGAUUAACUUGAAAUUGAAUCGAAAAUUAUAAUUCAAUUAUUUUGUGUUUCAUUAAUUAAUUUUUUAAAAUAUUUUAAAUAUUAAAAAAAUAUUCUUAAAAAAUAUUUCUUAUAAAAUAAAUGAAAUCUUAAAAAAUAAAAUUUAUCAAAAAAUUGAUAUAAUAAAAUAAGAACCCCUCAACAGUAGUCUAAAAGACCAUAGAAAACUUAUCGAGGCAAAGGGGAAAAGAGCAAACUUUUCCAUCAAACCCAAUAUUCAAAACAGCAGAGGGCAAGGAUAGAAGCUCAAAAUGAACGCAUGAAACACAGAGGGAGGCCGGCCCCAAGAGAGAGGCCAUCAUCUUCCGUCACACCACUCCCUCAUCAUCUGGGUCAGGAGAGGAAAACCCUUCCAAAAAGAAGCCCACACAAACGAAGCCUGUUCCACCAAAACCGACAGAACCAUCUCAUAGUAAACAUCCCACAGAUGCCACACGCCGGAGGACAAGCCAUAGGUGCCGCCAACAACAUUAUGUAGUGCGAGAGCAGCCAAAUCUGGACAACAAUCACAAAUCCUAUACAUACAAAGAAAAGGUGAAACAUCCAAACUAAACACAAAGAACAGUUGCAAAUAAAACCUAGAAAACCGCCCUAAAGCACAGAAACACAACCAUCGGGAAUGAGAAAAAGCAACAACUGCUGCCACAUGCAGGGAUGACCACCGCCUACCGCCACCAAAGUGAAGAACACUGGCCAUAACGAUUGCAAUUUGUAUAGUUAUUGAAUAGCUCAAGGAACAAAACACGAUUCCGAUGUCAACAAUCCACCGGCCUUCAAUGCUCCAACCACAAAUGACCUUGAGAGACCACCCAUCUAACUCAAACGAAAAUGAGAACAAACACGAAAAACAAAAUUGAAAAAAUUCUACAAGGCCAACGACAUCGAUCGAAUCUUGCCUAAAAGCAGAUGGCUUGAUCCAAUGGUAACAAAACUUGAGAUCUUAGCUCUCUUUCUCUCUCUUCUCUUUCUUCUCUCUUCAAAGGAAAAAAGAAUGCCAAUAAGUGAUAAUGCUUGCAGUUUUUAUAACAAAUACUUUGUCAUUCUUAUAUGCAUGCAGUAAACUUUUUAUUAAUAGUUUAAUACAUAUACCAGAAAUAAUUAUUUAAUUAGAAUAUCAAAAAAUAAAAUAAAUUAAUAAACUUCAUGUAUAAAAAGUUCACAAUGUUAAGAAUAAUUUUAAAAUUUUAAUAUAAAUUAUAUUUAAAAUAGCAUUGGUGCAGCGGAUUUAGAGAGUAAGCAUACAUUUUUUUUGUUUUGAAAUGAAAAAUUGAAAAUUGGAGGAUAAAAUCUGAGACCUUUUAUAUUUAUUUAAAUAUACUUUACCAUCAGAUUAAAUAUAUGCGCGAUGUUCUUACUUUUUAAAAAUUUUAAUUAAGAGUUAUGUUAAAUAUAUAUUUAUUUUUAAUAUAAUAUUAUGUUUCGAUCCUCAUUUCUAAAAAUAAAAAAUGGGAAGUAGAAAUAAGUAAGCAAAUUUUUUUAAAUUUCAUGAGUUUAUUUUUAAUAAGAUGUUAUAUUUAGUAAUUUUUCUAUUGUUGAAAAACUUAUUUUUUUAUUAAUCUAACUAAAUAAAAAUUGUGGAUUGAAAUUUAAUAAAUUCGAUUGUAUGUUUACUAAAUUAAACUAUAAUUUAUUUAUUAAAUUUAAAUUUAUUAAAUGUAUAUUUUAAGUAUAAAUAUUACUUUAAUGAAUAUUUUAUUAAAUAAUAGAAUAUUAAAUAAUAAAAAUUGAGGAAGUGGGAUGGGGGCAGGACAAGGAGGAAAAUAUAGAUUUUUUUUUCAUUUUUUUAAGAUAAAUGAAAAAUAAAUCUCAAAUAAAAAUAAAUUUUUUUUAUUGUAUAUAAAAAAAAAGUUUUAGUUAAUUCCCGUUUAUCAUCUUGGAAAAAUUUAGGUAUACAUAUGAUUUUAUAAAUUUUCUUUAAAUUGAAAAAAAUUAAAUAGAAAAAAAUUAUUAUUUUCAAACACAAAGAAUAGUUAUGCCUUUCCGAUUAUUUAUUUAUUUCUUUCUUUCCUCUCCCAUAUCAAAAAUGGGUAAUUUUUACCUGUAAUAACUGAAUUUUAAUACUUGUUUUAUUGUAAUUAUUAAAUUUAAUUUUAUUUCAUAAAACAUUAAUUUUUUUUUAUUUGAACUUCAAAUGGUAAAUCUCGUCAGAAUUUAAUAGAAUCUCUAAUUAGGUUUUUACAUAGACUAAUUUUACUUAAAAAUUGAAGGUAAUCUCGUCAUUAUCAUCAAACUAAUUAUUCACCUAUCAUAAUAAUUGAAGAUGCUAUUUGAAUUUAGCCACAGCCGAUUUUACAUGUGUGGGGAUGUAGCUCACAUGGUAGAGCGCUCGCUUUGCAUGCGAGAGGUACGGGGUUCGAUCCCCCGCAUCUCCACUAUUUUUUUUAUAUUUAUUUUGCCUAAUCUUGAAAACGAAGAGGCCCAGCCCAUGUCAAGUGCCAAUUCAGGCUUUCACGAGCCCAGUUUUUCUAGAGCUUCAAAAUCCCACUUAAAUUUCAGGCUUUUCCUUUGUUUUUUUGUCAAGUACACUGUCUUCACUGAAUUUCCUGCAACUCUCUACAAAUCUUCAUCUGAAAACAUUGUUUUUGAGAUUGAGAAUUCACAAUCCACAUUAGAAAAAAAAUUAAAAGUAUUCUCAAUGGACCAAUCUCUCCCUCAACAGAAAUUGAAAAAGAAAGCAGUGAGUCAUUUCAUAAGGCCACAACCACCAUGAAUAAAACUCAAGGAAGCUAGCUGUCUCUUUCAUAUCUCAGCAGUGGAGAUGUCUAUUUUCUGCCAUAUAUAUAUAUAUAUAUAUAUAUAUAAAUAUAAAGGCACUUGAUAUCUGCUUUUGUGAUUUUGUGCAGACACUACAGUCGCUCACUAUUUUGUCUACAAAAUGAUGCAUGAUGAUCUGAGAUCUAAUAGAUUAGGGUUUUAUAAGGGUUUGUGUAUUGAAGAAAAAACUUGGCUUAUCUCCCUAGAGGAGUAUCCCUUUUAUCAUUUUUUUCCUGCUUGCUGGUGACGUAUAAUGGCUCUCCCAUGAUUGGACAACGCGUCUCUGCCGUACAGAUAUGGGCGUACGAGUGUAUCAGGUGCCUGCUCCAUGCGUAACGGCCUCUGAUUCUCCCCCGUGCGUACACUUGAGCGGAUCUGCCAGGCUAUAUGACGAGUCUCGUUCUGGAUUCUGGGCUGGGCCGAGAGCUGGGCUGGACGAUGAACCCAGGAGGAGAAAGAAUCCGUGGGGAGGUUAUACGGGCUGGGCCGAUCUCGAUGAAAGAAGAAUCUGGUGGAGUCCGGCCUCAGGGGUCUGAUGAUCCGGGCCUGUUUUACCUAAGAGGGCGUGCGGGCCUUCCUUUCAUGGGCCGUGGCCGUAAUCUAGGCCCAGGAUUGGAGUAGGAAAAUCCAGCGGUCAUCAAAGCAUUUUGGAGAAAUUUUUUCUAUAAAAGAGUACAUGAAGGAAAAUGAUGAUUUCUUUUCUUUUCACUUUCUUUGAUUAUAAAGUUAGAGUAGUCAGGAUCAUUAAUCGAGAACCCUCUAUGUCUAUCUGAAAUCUUUUCAGUAAGGCUAAAAGCCUACAUAAUUAAGUUUAUAACCAAAUAGAAUACUUGGAAUUUUACAAAAUACUUCAGUGAACCAAAUUGUUAUUAUCAUGAAAAUUAUUUCCAUAACACUGCCCUUUUCUAAAGAUUCUCAUGAAACUUGGUUUAUAGAGUUUUGCGAGUUAAAAUCCAUAUGUAUUAUAAUGGUCCGUUCAUAUCUACAAUCAAUUUACCUAAUCUAAACUAUAAAUAUGAAUAUAAAUUUUAUUUAUUUUUAUGUGGUUCAAAGUAUUCAUAAAUUAUUCAAGAUUCGUUUCGAUAAAAAUUCGAUUAAAUUCAAAUUAUUUUUGAAACAAGUUAAAUUCGAAUUUAAAUUGUAGGCUUACUUAUUUAACGAGCCGAGUAUUAAUUUCGUUAGUAUUUGCAUCGUUAAAAUUUAUGAAUUCAAAAUAAUAAAUUAACUCGUUGAAUAUACUCGAAUUCAAAUUUUAAGCUUAUUUAUUUAACGAGCCGAAUAUUAAUUCCGUUAGUAUUUGCAUUAUUAAAAUUUAUGAGUUCAAAGUAACAAAUUAACUCAUUGAAUAUACUCGAAAACAUACUGAACUCAAUAUAAUAAAAGAAUUAAAUUUAAAACUUACAUAAAAUUUCAUAAUUUAAAUUUGAGUUUUUUAAAAUUUAAUUUCAUUCAAUUGAAUUACACUCUUAAAAUUUAUAAAUAUAUAACUUGUUAAAAUUUGAGAGCUCAAUGUUUAUAAAUUUAAUAAGUUAAUUUAAAUAUAUACUGUUUUUUGAUUCAAAAAAUAUAUAUAUACUGUUUAACUAAAAUUAUUUAAUUUUGAAUUUAUUAAUUUUAAAUUAAAAUUUAUUAUAAUAAAGCAGUUUAAUAGCUUGUCAUUUAAAUUUUUUUUAAGUUAAUUAAAAUAAAAUUUUGUCUUUUAUUAAAGAAAAGCCAAAUUUGACCUCUUUUCAUGCUUCCAAUACAAUCCAUUACCGAUGAGUCCAAUCCAUUCCAUCUAUUUCAUUUAAAAUCAAAUUAAAAUAAAUAAAUUAAAAAUUAAAAAUUUAAUAUUUUUAAAAAUUAAAUUAAUUUUAAUUAAAAAUCAAAUCAAAUUGAAUUGAUUCGAUUCGAUUUAAUUCAAUUUGGUUUAAUUAAUUUUAAUUUUUAAUAAAUUUUUUAUUUUUUACUCUUUAUUUUUAGUAUUUUAAAAUUUAAUUAAAAUAUUUUAAUUUUAAUAUGCUUUAAUUUCUCUAUAUUAUUAAAAAUAACAUAUUAUUAUCUCUAAAUUGAUUCGAUUCGAUUUUUUUUAAUCAAAAUUGAACCAAACUGAAAUAACUGAAAUUUUUAAAAUUAAAUCGAAACGAACUAAAAUGAAUAAAAAAAUCAAACUAAAAUUUUAAAUUAAAUCAGUUCGAUUAAUUUUUUCGAUUUGAACUGAAUUCUACUCACUCCUCCUCCUAUUAUCCUUAUUUGAAUUUGGACGCAACAAUAUAUUUAUACGUGUCAUUUUAUUAAAAUUUAUAAAUAAAAAAAAUUAACAUGCACCAAUUUAAUUAAAUUCAAGUUCGCAGCUCUUUAUUUUUUCCCAAAAAAACAGCAAAGAAACAAACAAUUCAAGAGUCAAAUUCUGAUGUAAGUGCGUUUCCAAGAGCUGCAUUGUUUAGCGACGUGUUAUUAUCAUAUAAAACCGUAUCUACAGAAGUUUUCUAUUUGACAGAGUUAUUUAAUUCUUUUCAACACUUAUAUGGAUUUAGCCCUAAAUGCAUAGAGAUUUACAAUCCUAUUGUCCUAUUAAAUCGAAUAAGUUACAUUUUAAUUUUUUAACUGAAUCAUAUGAUAUCUUGAGUCCACUUAUCAAACUAAUUUGAAUUCACUUACAUAAAUCUAUGAAGAAAAUCAUUUUUAUGUAUGAAGAAAAUUUUUUACAUUAAAAAAUACUAAAUUUUUUUAUUUUAAAUAAAAAUUUUAUAAAAAAAUUAAUUUUUAUAAAAUUUUUAAUUUCAAAUAAUUGUUUAAAAAAAUUAAGAAAAGUAGACUUCUAGUCAAAAGAGUUAACAAUAAUAAUAAUAAUAAUAACUUAACUAUUUAAGGUUCAUUCUCUGUCAUCUGAUAUCAAUGAUGAAAAUUUUAUGUAAUUAAAAUUUAUAAAUUAAUAAUAAUGUAAGAGAUUAAAUUUUAAAAUAAUAAAAUUAUGUUUAAUGAAAAAUAAAUAAAUCUAUGUGUAUUGAAGGAGAGAUAUAACAUAUAAAUUUAAUUUUCACAAAUUACAUCUCAUUUUUCUUUUUUUGGUAUAAUUUAUUUUGUAAAAAAAAUAUUUUUUUAUAAAAUUACAUCAUAUUUCAAGUUAUUUUAAAAUACAAAUUUUUUAAAUUAAAAAUAAUUGAAUUUUUUAAGAACAAUCAUAAUUAUUUAACACUUUUCAUUCUAUUAAUUAAAAAAUAUGUAUUAUAUAUUUUUUUAAAUUAAUUAUUAAUUAUUAUAAUUUUUCAUCAAUAAGAUUGAGAGUAUUGAUUAUUCAUAAUAUUUUUUUUCAUUUUAAACAAGAGAAUUAUUAAAAAAAAUUAAUUUAAUACAAUUAAAUUCUCACAAAGUCUUUUUAACUCUGAAUGAAGAGUUAGAGUUUGCAUAUGUGAAAGAGCCAUAAAUAUUUUUAAGAGUCUCAUUGAACAAAAAAGUCAAAAUUUACAUAAUAUUAUAUAUAUUUUAAUUUAAAUAUUUUUCAGUAUUGGAUUUAUUAUUUCAAAUUUUUUAAUUUACUAAAAUUAUAUCUUAGAUUAAAGUUAAGACUUAAAAUAAAAACUUAGUAUAUGGUAUGCCAUUUAAAAAUUUUAUUAUUAAAAUACUAAAAUUAUUUUUUAAAAUACAAUUAUUAAAAUACUAGUAAACCUUAUUUAUAUGAAUUCAAAUCUAAAUACUUCUAUAGUAUAUAUAGAGUAUAAAUAAUAUUUUUUUAUUAAUUUAAUUUACAAAUCAAAUUUUAUAAUCAUCAGACAAAAACUUUUUCUUUUUCCUUCUUCUUCGACUUUAGCAAUCUCAUUAUUGAAAUUUGAUUUAAAGGUUUAUGAUGAUUGUAACGUUACAAAAUUAAUUGCAAAUGCCUAUCCUAUAAUAAAGUUACUUUUGUAUUUGAAGAAAAUUAUUAUUUAAUCUUUUAAAUAAAGUAAAAUUUAUUAGUUAGUUUUUUAAUUUUAAAAAAUAUAUUAAAAUAUUUUUAAAAUAUUAAAAAUUCUAUUAAUUAAUUACUCGAUUAAUUUUCAUUUUACCUAUUAAGUGUUGAAAAAAGUCUAAAAUAAAAGAUUAAUUAGUUUAAUUUUUAUAAAAUUAAAAAAUUAACUAAUAAAUUUUGUUGAUGCUAUAAGGAUUAAACAGUAAAAUACUAAUAUCUAAAGUUAAUAAAUGAUUGAUUAAUAAUUUAAAAUAUUUUAAUGAUUUUUUUCAGAUUAAUAAACUAAAUUUAAGAGAGUAAAUAAUUUUUUUUAUAUUAAAAAUUGAAGAUAAAAGUUUUUUUUCUUGAACUAUGUAAAUCUAUUGCAUUUUUCACUGGUCCAACAAGAAACAAAGUAUCCAAAUAACUUAUAUCCACAAAAAUAAUCCAGUAAUUCAAGAACCCAAACAAUAGCCUAAAAAGCAGAAACUCUUAAUUCAUAUUAACUCAAUUGAUCGACACAAGCACCGUCGCACAAAUUUCGAGUCGCCGAUGUACCAUUUGAGUCAUCAGUACAUUAAGAAAUAAUGACAGCAACCUUUAUUUAACUCUUUAGCAAAAAUAAAAAGUAACAAUAAGAGACACAUGAUACAUCUGCACAUGCAAGCAGAUCUAGAUUGGAAAGAGUCACGACCGACGAAAACUAGCCGCAAAAAGAGACAGCGUAGCAGAGCUCUUAGUCAAUUAUCAGACUGUGUGAACGUAGCUCAUCGGAUGUAUUGAUGCGUAGGUGCAAUACCACAUAUGCAAAUAACUCUCCAUAACCAUAGAUACAAAGUCACCAGACCCUCAAAUCAGAUCCAAAAGAGCAAUCCCCACUACCAAAAAAUACUAGGAAUUUGAAAACAUGGAAGAACAGAAGAAACUCAAAUACAAAAAUCAAAGUAAAUCAAAUAAGAGCAACCAAAGAUACCAGAAAGACACCAACACAAAAGUCUGAAACUCUCACCGAUGUCUACAGUCCGUUCAUCCGCCCUAUCUCCUUCUUUCGUAUUCUUUUUUUUUUUUUUCUAUGUAAACUAUUAUAAUGAGUUUUAUUCAAAAUUAUAUGUUCUCAUAAGAUAAAAUAUCAUAGCUUUUUAUUAAUUUCAUUUUUUUUGAAAUAGAAAUUUCAUUAAAUUUAUAGUAAAAAUAAAAUAUAAAUAAUUUUUUUCAUUAAUUACAUUAAUGGACAUUUUAUCUUCUGCCCAAAAAAAAAAAGUAAUGGGCUUAGUACAGUUACUAGAAAGUUGAAAUUUGUAAAAGAGAUUAAUCUUAUCCUUGAUAAAGAAGCAAAAAAGAGAUGUACUGUUGUGGAGAAUCCUUGUGUUUGUAGGCCCCAUGUGAUUUUUUAGUGGGCCACCCUUGUUCUCCACUAGCAAUGCAAAAUUUUUCUUCCUUUUGAUAAAGAAGCAAAAAAGAGAUGUACCGUUGUGGAGAAUCCUUGUGUUUGUAGGCCCCAUGUAUUUUUUAGUGGGCCACCCUUGUUCUCCACUAGCAAUGCAAAAUUUUUCUUCCUUUCAGAAUUGUGACGAGGAAGUUGUUUUUUUAAAAAAACAAAAAAUCAAAAAUAAAAAAUUGAAAAACAAAUUGUUGAAAUUAUUUAAUUAUUUUAAAAAAUUUUAUGUGUAAAAAUAUACUUUAACCUUAAAUUAUUUUAGUAUUUUAAUUAAAAUAUUUUUAAAACAUUUUUCAACAAUAAUAUUAACAAAGCUCCGUACACAUUAUAAAAAAUAUUAUUUAUUUACCAGCUUAUCAUUUUAGUAUUUAUUUUUUUUAAAUGAAAUUAAAAAUUGAGAAAAUAAAAAUAUAUCGGCACUUAUUAUCAGACUAAAUUUAUGAGUGCAUCAUUUUAAUAUUUAUUAGCAUUAAACUAAUAAAUUAAUUAAUAAUCAAAUAUUCUAAAUUUUUUAGUAAUUUUAAUAAUAAAUAUAUUUAUAAAUUACAUUGUAUUAGAUAUAUCUAUUAUUUAUCAAUUAUUUAUAAAUAUUUUAAGUAAAUACGAAAUUAUUUAAAAUUUAAAUACUUAUAAAUUUAAAAAUAACUGAUAAUAUUAAGUAUUUAAAACUAAUUUUCGUAAUUUAAGCUUAAUUUCAAGCAUAAAAAUUACACACAGAGUUAGACUCUGAAAUUCACUUUUCUUUCUUUGUUACAGAAUAAUAUUGCUUAGAAUUCCAUCGAUCUAAUUUUCAAACAUCAUAUAUAAUGAUCUGAGAUCCAGAAAUAGGGUUUUUACAAUGGGCUCUGUAAAAUUUAGAAAAAACUUAAAUCUAGAGAGGAGUAUUUCUCCUUUUAUAUGUUUCCUUUUGUCUGCUAGUGAUGUGCCAACAGAACGAGUAUCAUUAGACCACAUGUCCCUGCUACGCUGAUACGGACGUACGAGGGAAUCAGAUCUCUGCCCCAUGCAUAACGGCCUCUGAUUCUCUCUGUGCACGUGUAGGCGGGUCUACGAGGCGGAUGGAUGAAUACUUCUUCGGGUUCUGGGCUGGGCCGGAGGAUAGGAACAAAGCUGGGCCCAAAUGGGAUCGGCCCGAGGUGCAGUGAAGACGAGGCCGGCCUGGUGGAGAAAGCCAGAUGAAGCCCGGUUGUGAGGCUGAGCGGACUGGACCUAGUUCGCGUGAGUGGCUUGAAGAUUUCUAAGUAAUUGACUAUUUUCAUGGAUCUGACCCUAAACUAGAGUGAGGUGAGCCCAAAGGUCAUCAAUAUAUAUUCAAAAAGGCUUAAAAUUAAAAAAAAAAAGCCUAAACUUUAAAUUUUUUAAUUAUCUUUUUUUUUUUUACUUUUAUCAAUUUAGUGAAGGAAAAUGAAAUAUACAUAUAAUCUUAUAUAACUAUAUAUAUCAAUUAAUAAGAAGAAAAAAAAUUCUUUUAAUUAUUUAAAUGAAACAUGCAUAAAAUAUUUUUUAGAAAAAAAAUUAAAUUCUAAUGAUCAGAAAAUAAAAGAUAUUUAUUUAAAAAAUGAAAACUAAAGUUAUUAAUAUUGCUUUGGCUUUAAACCAUCGGACGACGACGUGACACAAAAAGGGCAAGUGGACAAUCAUGCAUGCAAUGAAUCACGUUACCAUGAACUCUAUAUAAAGGGCAGUGCCAUGAGAAGAGCAAACCACACAAGCACUUCAAAAUCUUAACACCAUCGAUCAACAUGGCUUUGGCUUUCAAACACUCUCUUCUUCUGGGGAUGCUCGUCUUCCUCAUAGCCCUGUUGGCUCUUACUGAGCCAGCAAUGGCUGAUGAUGUUGAUGCUGUCCCUGAUAACUUUAACCGUACUUAUUUUCCAGAUGAUUUCAUUUUUGGCACAGCUACUUCUUCUUACCAGGUAUAUUCAGACCUUCAUUUUUAUCUAUGCUCUCCCAUUGUCUAUUUGUUCCCUAGUUUGCAUUAUUUGCUUUGCUUCUUUCUUCUGUUUAUAAAGUUUGCUUAAAAUAAAUAAUAUUCAAUUUUACAUUAGAUCGAAGGUUCAACAAACAUAUCUUGCAGAGGACCAAGUGUCUGGGAUACAUUUACUCAUGAAUAUCCAGGUACGAUUAAAUGCAUAUCAACAUAUGAUAUAUACGUGCAAAAUAUUAAUUAUUUAUAUAUAAUCUUGCAGAAAGGAUAAAGGACCACAGUAAUGGAGAUGUUGCCGUUGAUUUUUACCAUCGAUAUCGGGUAUAAUAGUUAAACUUUUUUUUCUAUUUUCUAAAAAAAUCGUUGUAUUGACAACAAUAAAAUUAAACUGCAGGAGGAUAUCAAAAAUGUGAAGAAUAUGAAUUUUGAUGCAUUCAGAUUUUCAAUUUCAUGGUCUAGAGUUAUACCCAGUAAGUAAUUUAUUAUUACAUGAAUAUUACUCGAUAUAUAGGAAGUACUUUCACACUUGUUUAUAAUAUUAAUUUUAAAAUAUUCAGGUGGAAGAAGAUCUGAAGGAGUGAACGAGGAGGGCAUAAAAUUUUAUGAUGAUGUUAUCAAUGAAGUUCUAAGAAAUGGUGAAAAUCAUCUUCUUUUCUCUUAAAUUUUGUGAAUUAUGGCUUUAAUAUCUGGAAAACGUAUUCAAAAUAGUAAUAAAGGGCCCUGGUGAAGUCAUCAUAUUAUUACAUCAAAUUUCUAAUUUUUCUUUUUGCUGCGAAAAAUUCAGAACUCAUACCAUUUGUUACAAUUUUUCAUUGGGAUACUCCUCAAGCUCUAGAGGAUAAAUAUGGCGGCUUUUUAAGUCGUAAUAUUGUGUAAGUAUAUAAUUUCAACUAAUAUUUUCAAACUACCAAAAGAAAAAUUUAUGUAUCAGUUUUUUGAAUAUAAUGUUCUCAUCUUACAUAAUGUAUAGGGAUGAUUAUUGUGAUUAUGCGGAUCUUCUCUUCGAAAAAUUUGGUAAUCGAGUGAAGUUUUGGAUGACUUUUAAUGAACCGUGGUCUCUUAGUGGAUUUGCCUAUGAUGAUGGAAUUUUUGCUCCCGGUCGAUGUUCAUCUUGGGUGAAUCGUCAAUGUCGUGCUGGAAAUUCAGCUACUGAACCUUAUAUAGUUGCACAUCAUUUACUCCUUGCUCAUUCUGCAGCUGUUAAUUUAUACAGAGAAAAAUAUCAGGU
rnacentral:lncRNA from 1 species